rnacentral:rRNA from 1 species
CAGUAGCCGCGGUAAUACGGAGGGUGCAAGCGUUAAUCGGAAUUACUGGGCGUAAAGCGCACGCAGGCGGUCUGACAAGUCAGAUGUGAAAUCCCCGGGCUUAACCUGGGAACUGCAUUUGAAACUGUCAGGCUGGAGUCUUGUAGAGGGGGGUGGAAUUCCAGGUGUAGCGGUGAAAUGCGUAGAGAUCUGGAGGAAUACCGGUGGCGAAGGCGGCCCCCUGGACAAAGACUGACGCUCAGGUGCGAAAGCGUGGGGAGCAAACAGGAUUAGAUACCCCUGUAGCCCUGUCUCUUAUACA